rnacentral:rRNA from 1 species
GAAACCCAAGCUAAUACCGCAUAAGCCCUACGGGGGAAAGCGGGGGACCUUCGGGCCUCGCGCCAUUGGAUGAGCCUGCGUCGGAUUAGCUAGUUGGUGAGGUAAGAGCUCACCAAGGCGACGAUCCGUAGCUGGUCUGAGAGGACGAUCAGCCACACUGGGACUGAGACACGGCCCAGACUCCUACGGGAGGCAGCAGUGGGGAAUAUUGCGCAAUGGGGGAAACCCUGACGCAGCCAUGCCGCGUGUGUGGAGAAGGCUCUAGGGUUGUAAAGCACUUUCAAUAGCGAGAAAAAGCUCACGGCUAAUACCUGUGAGUAUUGAUGUUACCUAUAGAAGAAGGACCGGCUAACUCCGUGCCAGCAGCCGCGGUAAUACGGAGGGUCCGAGCGUUAAUCGGAAUUACUGGGCGUAAAGCGCGCGUAGGCGGUUUGCUCAGUCGGAUGUGAAAGCCCCGGGCUUAACCUGGGAACUGCAUUCGAUACUGGCAGACUGGAAUACGGGAGAGGGAGGUAGAAUUCCAUGUGUAGCGGUGAAAUGCGUA